UCGGGUGUGGUGUACGGCGCACCGCGAGCUUGCCUAGCGUGGUCCCGUACGGGUGAAACUCGCAGGACGGGGUUCGAUUCCCCGCGCCCGAA